CGGACAAAAUACCGCACGUUACGAAUAGUAUACUAUUUAUAACGGACAUCAUGGGCCCGUUACGAAUGAUUGGUCCAGGCGUUGGUGAGAUGAGCCCAUUAGUUACUUAGGGUUUCACACAUCUCCUCAGCCGUCACUCCCCUCUCUUUCUCUCUCCUCAGAAAUCAUCCUCUAACUUUCUCUUUCACUCACUCACUACCUUUCUCUCUCCUCUUUAGAACUCAAUCAAAAUCUAAAAAAAAUGGCUAGAUCUCUUUCCAAUUCUCUCUCCUCAGCAACAUCGACCCAUAUUUAUCAAUUUUCGACACUAGUCAGAGCCAUUUUCCGGUGAAAUCUGGCGGUAAAGGAGGUUGAGAAGGUUGAGAUGAAGUAAAGCGACGCUGCUCAACCCAGAGAAGAAGAAUGCGGUGGCAGCCACGAUAAUGGAAAGAUGGGUUCUUGUUCUUCUACAGAUCUAACAAUCUCAAAACUUGACUAAAAUAAUGAUGCGUUGGAUAAACAUUUGGAGAGAUCAUUGCCUUCAACUUCGAAAGGAUUGAAUGGUAAAGAUAAGGAUGGAUUGUCGGCACAGUCGGUUAUCAGUACUACUGAUGGUGAUGGUAAACAGUCGUCUGAUCAGAGAGAUUCUCGCGCUGUUCCUCUCUCUAAGAAUCGUUGCUCCGAUGGAUCCAUGUCGCCCUAGAGUUAGAGAUUCAGUUGAGUUAUGCAGGGCUGCUGGCGUAAUGAUAUUUGUCUGAACUUUGAAGUUGCAAUUUAUGUUAUGGUACCGCCAAAUUAAUGAUGCCCUGCUGGCUGUAUUUGACAGAAUAUCAACCAUGUAUAUGAGACCGAUUACUGAACAGAGUGGUGCCGAACUAUAUCUACAGCUGAAUCUAAACACCAACAAUACACGAUCAGGGACUCUUCUGGGCAGUAUGAUGCGGGCAGUAUGAUGCCUGAUUAUACUCAACACGAUUAUUGAGAUCAAAGUUGCAUCUAUCUGGAAAAAUGGUGGAAGAUGUAAAUUAUUCAACACGCUAAUUUAGAGGAAAAUAAUUUACAUCUGAUGGUAGUCUUAAGUAAACUUGUUUUUAUUAUUAUUACAAUUGAGAUUUCCUUUUGCUUUGUUAUAGUUUUAUUAUAUAUAUAAAAGCAGCUUUUGCUAAUUGUAUUUUACUCUUUAAUUA